CAGGUGUAACCACCAUUAAAGAAAACCGGUGCAAAUAUAAAAUAAAGAGGAAGCAGACGAUUAAGAUUCAUUUAAGAGUUUUUUUAGUUCAGUUUCUAGUUCUUUGUGUCGGCUGAACCAGCUUAACAUGCUUUGAACUUGACACCUGCAGCUGACAUUGGACCGUCGGAAACAUCCACAGACAUGCAGAGACUCCUGUGAGGCAUACGUGUGCGUACUCCACCCUCCCAUACUCAGGACUGAAGUCAAGAUGCCAGAUCCAGUGUGAGCAUCAGGCUGCCUGAAAACGACUUGUUCUAAAGUAACAACCCAAACGGAUUUGGCUGAAAUAUGGUAGCUGAAUACCAACUGGCCCACAGGCCACUUAGUUUUUGGAGGCUGCUCCUGGACUGGGAUUUCUGCCACUGGUGAAGAUCAGUAUUCAUCAAUGUCAGUUACAGGUUUACAUGCCACACUGAACGGCUGCUACACUGCAUCGCAUUCAUCGGUGGUUUAAUCAAACCUAGAAGAAACAUAACAGACAGAAACUAUGACGAAGUAACUUGCUCCAGUCUGCUGUAUCUGAUACAGACACGAGCAGCACAUCUCUCAUCACACAUCACAUUUUCCCGAGGUGGUCCCCCUGCAGAGGCUUACAGCUGAUGUUAUGAUGUCAUGCUGCGCCUGGUAUUCCAAUUAGAGGAGACGGUUCGUUUGCUUCAGGUCUGUUAAAGGAAUGUUUUCAAGUCCUUCUGACAGAUCACUUGUGGAGUAAGUUUUUUGUCCUCAGCUGAUUCUAACCUGGAUAUGUUACCAAUCAGUCUGGAUGCUUUUUAACUCGUUGACAUUCUUCAAGCAACCACCUGCCCUCUGACAGCUCACAGGCAGACACUACUGGUGAUUUUUACCAUAAACACCAUCAAUGCUGCUAAAAAAGAGUAAGGGUAAUUAGAACCAGCUUCAUAUUCUUGACUUUUUUCAAUAUGAGAACUUCUAAUUGUCACGGCGAGUGGGAUGAGCCGUGUGGAAAAUAAUACAGGAGGAUCCAAUCGCAGGCAAGAAUGAAGGUGAGAGGGUGGUUUAUUAAACACAAAAUGAAAUGGACAAAACAGCAAAACGGGAUCGAAACUAUCUAAACUGAGAACAACUAAACUACUGACACAAACCAGGACCUGAACAUGAAGGAGGAUGAGCGGAGGUAGCAGACGACGGACAGCAGGGAGACACACAGAUGAAGCAGGGUGGAUACGCAGACGGACCAGCAACUACAAUGACUGAAGACACGACUUAAAUACACAGAGAAACACAGGGAGAUUACACACAGGUGGUGGACACAGCUGGGAGUAAUUAACGA